GUCAGGCAUUAUCCUGGAGAAAAUAGCCAAAGGCAUGGCGUCCUGAGCCAUCAGACGUGAUCCAGAGCAUGGCCUUGGUCACGCCUUUGCUGGGCGGGGCCGGGCCAUCGCCGAAAAACAGAAUGGCCCGAGUGCACAGGAAUGGACCUUCGGUCCUGCACAAGUUCCUCCUCUCCUGCUGCUGACCACGCCUCGCUUCCUCCCUCCUCUCCCUCAGGACCUCUGCACCCCCCCUCUACUCACCACACCACAACUCAAAGUGUGGUCCUUGCAUGGUCACUUGGAUGGUAAGGUAAGGAGCACAGCUCCCCAGGCCCCACCACACCCCGUCAGGAUUGGGCCGGGCCCUCGGGGUCAGCUUGCGUGGGGAGCGGGCUGGAAAGCCUCCAGGCCUGGCCCGGCUCAUCUGCUUCUCCUGGACAGGCCCAGGGCCAGUCGGCCUUAUCCCUGGUAUCUGUUCUCCAUUCUAGGCAUGCGCGGCCUUGCACUUCUGAAGGAACCACGAGGUUCCUGCUCUCAGGGCAUUUACACAACAAUUUUAUGAACAAACAGGUUAGCAGAGCACAUCGGUUGCAUUCCUGAACGAGAGCUGAAGUUAGCAUCUUCCUCUGAGACCCCAAGUGGUGUCUCUCUAAUGACAAGGGAAUAUUCUUGCACAUGUGCAGAUGUCGGGCAGUGGGCGGCAAGAGAAGGGACAGAGCUGCUUACAUCUGUUUCUUUUGUAACCAAGAGCAAAACUGUGGUGCUCAGGCAGCCCAGCAGGGCCAAUCGGCACAAUGCCCAAACACACCGAC
rnacentral:lncRNA from 1 species